rnacentral:rRNA from 1 species
GACGAACGCUGGCGGCGUGCCUAACACAUGCAAGUCGAACGGAGAUUAUUGAUGAAGCUUGCGAUUUAAUAAUCUUAGUGGCGGACGGGUGAGUAACGCGUGGGUAACCUGCCCAUAAGAGGGGGAUAACAUCCGGAAACGGGUGCUAAUACCGCAUGGUUUUCUUGAUCGCAUGAUUGAGAAAGAAAGGCGGCCUUUGUGCUGUCGCUUAUGGAUGGACCCGCGGCGUAUUAGUUAGUUGGUGAGGUAACGGCUCACCAAGACGAUGAUACGUAGCCGACCUGAGAGGGUGAUCGGCCACA